CAGGGAAUCUUGCGCAAUGGGCGAAAGCCUGACGCAGCGACGCCGCGUGGGGGAUGAAGGCCUUAGGGUUGUAAACCCCUUUUCUCGGGGAAGAGAAAGGACGGUACCCGAGGAAUAAGUCUCGGCUAACUACGUGCCAGCAGCCGCGGUAAUACGUAGGAGGCGAGCGUUGUCCGGAUUUACUGGGCGUAAAGAGCGCGUAGGCGGCUCGGCAAGUCUCAUGUGAAAUCUCCCGGCUCAACUGGGAGGGGUCCUGAGAAACUGUCGGACUUGAGGGCAGCAGAGGAAGACGGAAUUCCCGGAGUAGUGGUGAAAUGCGUAGAUACCGGGAGGAACACCAGUGGCGAAGGCGGUCUUCUGGGCUGCACCUGACGCUGAGGCGCGAGAGCGUGGGGAGCAAACCGGAUUAGAUACCCCCGUAGUCC
rnacentral:rRNA from 1 species